CUUAAUAACAACAUGACCCUUGCAUAAAACAAAGAAAAGCAAAAGAGAAAAAACAAAAAUAGAACAAAAAAAAUCACAUAAAGCGAUACAUCUAGUGAAAGCUAUGAUCUUUUUUUAAAAAAGCCCUCCAGAAACUCAUCAGAUUUAACCGUCAAUUAAAUUUCGGCUUUUAAAAAAUCGAGCAUGCACCCUUUCUAAGACAUAAUCAUGAGAGAUACCAUACCCCAAAGGACACCAGGUGUCUAUAUUCCAAGCAUCCCAACCCCAUUCAGGUUUCAAUUCAGGUUUUUUGUGAGGACCCAAGACUAAAAGCCAGCGACAUUGAACAGAUAAGGCAUAACAAGUAGAGAAUAGUUUAGAUGGUUCUGUAAGUAAAUGAAGAGCAAAAGAACAUAUUACAAGGUCAUAUAUGCCAUCUUCAGCGCUACUUGGAGGUAGUUUUUCAUCAGCAAUAUCCUGAAAGUUUAGCGUUAAGCAUGGCUUACCAAUGCGAUUUGUGUAGGCUUCUAAAGUAAAUGGGUCCGUAGCUAUAAGCUCAAAAGGAGGUAAUUCUGGUGGAAUAGAACGUAUAGAAAUUUCUUUACGGACUUUAAAAGCUCCUCCAUGUAUACCCAGUUCCCUCCCUAAAUGCUCCCAUUCUAUAACUGUUUCUGAAACUUCCCCACUUCCACAUGCCAAAUCUAUAACAUGCAAUCCGUGACUUUUAAACUUUUCAUCAUGAUCCCAAAAAUGACUUAAGCACUGCAAUAGCAAAAGUCGUAAUCCCCGAAAAUGCAAAUUUCGAUAAGUCCCUCCUACCUUUUUGUAAUAAACAUCUACGCCUUGCGCAUAGUUAUCUCUCAUUGAGUAA